AGAGUUUGAUCCUGGCUCAGGAUGAACGCUGGCGGCAUGUCUUAGGCAUGCAAGUCGAACGUGGCCGCAAGGCCAAGUGGCAAACGGGUGAGUAACACACUGGUAACCUACCCUUUACUGGGGAAUAACCUGCCGAAAGGCGGGCUAAUACCGCAUACGUUUUUCUUUCAUAUGAAAGAAAAAGAAAGCUUCGGCGGUAAAGGAGGGGCCUAUGGUCCAUCAGCUUGUUGGUGAGGUAAAAGCUCACCAAGGCUCUGACGGAUAGCGGGUGUGAGAGCAUGACCCGCCUCACUGGGACUGAGAACUGCCCAGACUCCUACGGGAGGCUGCAGUCGAGAAUCUUCCUCAAUGCGCGAAAGCGUGAAGGAGCAAUGCCGCGUGCCGGAAGAAGGCCUUCGGGUUGUAAACGGCUUUUGUAAGAGAAUAAGCUUCGGCUGAAGGUAUCUUACGAAUAAGAGGUUGCUAACUCUGUGCCAGCAGCAGCGGUAAUACAGAGACCUCAAGCGUUAUCCGGAUUUAUUGGGCGUAAAGCGUCCGCAGGUUGUUUGUCAAGUUUCUCGUUAAAUCUUGUGGCUCAACCAUAAGAGUGCGGGGAAAACUGACAAACUUGAGACUGGGAGAGGCAAGCGGAACGGCUGGUGUAGCGGUAAAAUGCGUUAAUAUCAGCCGGAACACCAAAGGCGAAGGCAGCUUGCUAGAACAGUUCUGACACUCAUGGACGAAAGCGUGGGGAGCGAAUGGGAUUAGAUACCCCAGUAGUCCACGCUGUAAACGAUGGGUACUAGCUUUUGGGAGUAUCGACCCUCCCAGAGGUGCUUAUAACCAAGCUAACGCGUUAAGUACCCCGCCUGGGGAGUACGGCCGCAAGGCUAAAACUCAAAGGAAUUGACGGGGACCCGCACAAGCGGUGGAGCGUGUGGUUUAAUUCGAUGAUAAGCGAGGAACCUUACCAGGGCUUGACAUAUAGCUGCAUAUCCCGAGAAAUCGGGAAGCCUUCGAGGGUGCUAUACAGGUGCUGCAUGGUUGUCGUCAGCUCGUGCUGUGAAGUGUACCGUUAAGUCGGAAAACGAGCGCAACCCCUAUAUUGUGUUACUUUUCACAAUAGACCGCCCUGGUUAACAGGGAGGAAGGUGGGGAUGACGUCAAAUCAGCAUGGCUCUUACGUCCUGGGCGACACACGCGCUACAAUGGGUAGUACAACGGGUUGCCAAACCGCGAGGUGGAGCUAAUCCCUUAAAACUACCCCCAGUUCGGAUUGGAGUCUGCAACUCGACUCCAUGAAGCCGGAAUCGCUAGUAAACGCGUAUCAGCCACGGCGCGUUGAAUACGUUCUCGGGUCUUGUACAAAUUAAAUGCGCCUGGCAGGCGUAUGAACUACAAGGUGAAAAUCCUUGUCCCGCACUCACUUUGGGGUAUUCCCCAAAGUGAGUGCGGAAUAGUUGCGAACAGGACAUAUCCCGUAAGGGAAUGUCUGAAGGGUUCUAU
rnacentral:rRNA from 1 species